rnacentral:scRNA from 1 species
UACGUGGGAAAAUAACCUAUACACGCUGGACU